AUGAACGCUGGCGGCGUGCCUAACACAUGCAAGUCGAACGGAGAAUUUACGCUGAUGAAGCUUCGGCAGAUUCUUGUAAAUUCUAGUGGCGGACGGGUGAGUAACGCGUGGGCAACCUGCCUCAUACUGGGGGAUAACAGCUGGAAACGACUGUUAAUACCGCAUAAGCGCACGGUAUCGCAUGAUACAGUGUGAAAAACUCCGGUGGUAUGAGAUGGGCCCGCGUCAGAUUAGCCAGUUGGCAGGUAACGGCCUACCAAAGCGACGAUCUGUAGCCGGCCUGAGAGGGCGGACGGCCACAUUGGGACUGAGACACGGCCCAAACUCCUACGGGAGGCAGCAGUGGGGGAUAUUGCACAAUGGAGGAAACUCUGAUGCAGCGACGCCGCCGUGAGUGAAGAAGUAUUUCGGUAUGUAAAGCUCUAUCAGCAGGGAAGAAAGACUCGUAAGAGAGAUGACGGUACCUGACUAAGAAGCCCCGGCUAACUACGUGCCAGCAGCGGC
rnacentral:rRNA from 1 species